AUUGAACGCUGGCGGCAUGCCUUACACAUGCAAGUCGAACGGUAACAGGUCUUCGGAUGCUGACGAGUGGCGAACGGGUGAGUAAUACAUCGGAACGUGCCUAGUAGUGGGGGAUAACUACUCGAAAGAGAGGCUAAUACCGCAUGAGAUCUACGGAUGAAAGCAGGGGAUCGCAAGACCUUGUGCUACUAGAGCGGCCGAUGGCAGAUUAGGUAGUUGGUGGGAUAAAAGCUUACCAAGCCGACGAUCUGUAGCUGGUCUGAGAGGACGAUCAGCCACGCUGGGACUGAGACACGGCCCAGACUCCUACGGGAGGCAGCAGUGGGGAAUUUUGGACAAUGGGCGAAAGCCUGAUCCAGCAAUGCCGCGUGCAGGAUGAAGGCCUUCGGGUUGUAAACUGCUUUUGUACGGAACGAAAAGCCCCGGGUUAAUACCCUGGGGUCAUGACGGUACCGUAAGAAUAAGCACCGGCUAACUACGUGCCAGCCGCCGCAGUAAUAC
rnacentral:rRNA from 1 species